rnacentral:rRNA from 1 species
UUGACCUCAAAUCAGGUAGGAAUACCCGCUGAACUUAAGCAUAUCAAUAAGCGGAGGAAAAGAAACCAACAGGGAUUGCCUUAGUAGCGGCGAGUGAAGCGGCAAAAGCUCAAAUUUGAAAUCUGGCACCUUCGGUGUCCGAGUUGUAAUUUGAAGAUUGUAACCUUGGGGUUGGCUCUUGUCUAUGUUUCUUGGAACAGGACGUCACAGAGGGUGAGAAUCCCGUGCGAUGAGAUGCCCAAUCCUAUGUAAGGUGCUUUCGAAGAGUCGAGUUGUUUGGGAAUGCAGCUCUAAGUGGGUGGUAAAUUCCAUCUAAAGCUAAAUAUUGGCGAGAGACCGAUAGCGAACAAGUACAGUGAUGGAAAGAUGAAAAGAACUUUGAAAAGAGAGUGAAAAAGUACGUGAAAUUGUUGAAAGGGAAGGGUUUGAGAUCAGACUCGAUAUUUUGUGAGCCUUGCCUUCGUGGCGGGGUGACCCGCAGCUUAUCGGGCCAGCAUCGGUUUGGGCGGUAGGAUAAUGGCGUAGGAAUGUGACUUUGCUUCGGUGAAGUGUUAUAGCCUGCGUUGAUGCUGCCUGCCUAGACCGAGGACUGCGAUU